rnacentral:rRNA from 1 species
AACGUAGGGGGCAAGCGUUGUCCGGAAUCAUUGGGCGUAAAGAGCGUGUAGGCGGCCAGAAAAGUCCGCUGUGAAAACUCGAGGCUCAACUUCGAGCUGUCGGUGGAAACUUUCUGGCUAGAGUCCGGAAGAGGAGAAUGGAAUUCCUGGUGUAGCGGUGAAAUGCGCAGAUAUCAGGAAGAACACCCGUGGCGAAGGCGGUUCUCUGGGACGGUACUGACGCUGAGACGCGAAAGCGUGGGGAGCGAACAGG